GACUUCGAUGUUCGACGUCAUAAACACGAUCAACUUUGAUGUUCAUGACAUCGAUAUUCGACGUAAUAAACACGAUUUACUUUGAUGUUUAUGACGUCGAUAUACGACGUCAUAAACACGAUCAACAUUGAUGUUCAUGACGUCGAUAUACGACGUCAUAAACACGAUCAACUUUGGUGUUUAUGACGUUGAUAUUCGACGUC
rnacentral:miRNA from 1 species